rnacentral:rRNA from 1 species
UACAGGGGGUGCAAACGUUGCUCGGAAUCAUUGGGCGUAAAGCGCACGUAGGCGGUUCAGUAAGUCGGGUGUGAAAUCUCCGUGCUCAACACGGAGCGGCCACCUGAUACUGCUGUGACUCGAGUCCGGUAGGGGAGUGUGGAAUUCCCGGUGUAGCGGUGAAAUGCGCAGAUAUCGGGAGGAACACCAGUAGCGAAGGCGGCACUCUGGGCCGUGACUGACGCUGAGGAGCGAAAGCGUGGGUAGCAAACAGG